UGGUGGAGUGAUUUGUCUGGCUAAUUCCGAUAACGAACGAGACUCUAGCCUGCUAAAUAGACGGGCGAUCCCUUCGUGGGUCGACCCGAUUUGCUUCUUAGAGGGACAAGUGGCGUUCCUAGCCACGCGAAAUUGAGCAAUAACA
rnacentral:rRNA from 1 species